rnacentral:rRNA from 1 species
AGGACGAACGCUGGCGGCGUGCUUAACACAUGCAAGUCGAGCGGAAAGGCCCUUCGGGGUACUCGAGCGGCGAACGGGUGAGUAACACGUGAGUAAUCUGCCCCUAGCUCUGGGAUAGCUCCGGGAAACCGGGAUUAAUACCAGAUACGACCACUUUAGACAUCUCUUGUGGUGGAAAGAAUUUCGGCUAGGGAUGAACUCGCGGCCUAUCAGCUUGUUGGUGAGGUAACGGCUCACUAAGGCGACGACGGGUA